ACUGAGGACCUGGUGGCAACUGUGUGUGACUUUGGGAUCCUCAUCACCGAGCAGGCCGCUGCAGCCACUGAGUCUGGAGGAGAAAGUGGACAAGAAAAAAGGCAAAGAGAAGAGCAAAAAACUGAAAGCAGAAAGUCAGGCCAGCCGGAAAACCACAGCGUCUGCCAAAGGAAAAAGAAAAAACAAAGGCUCCACUGAGCCGGAGGAGGGCCGAGGGCUCGAGGCAGUGCCGCUGACAGUGGAAUUCCAGGUACAGCUGCUGCGGUGGCCCUCGGCUGCUGCUCAGAGCCCGUGGAGCACGGUGGCCGUGGACAAGGCUCCCUAAGGCGGCCUGUGGCUGGAGCGAGCGACGGAGGGCCUGG
rnacentral:lncRNA from 1 species